UCAAAAUAAGCAACAAGGAUAUCCAAAGUUAAUGCAGUACGAUCGUUUCAUGCGACUCCAUUUAUUUAAGCAAUGUGAACAUUACAUUAAAUGUAAAAUGCAGAGCAAUCCUCAGCUCCAAAAAGAUAUAGAAAUUUACUGAAAUUUCAUUUCAACAGAAGGACAUAUUGCUAUAACUACAUUUAAACUCUCCAAUUGGAAACGAAGAAUACAAAAAACCAUUUUGACUUAGCCAGACCAUACAGGCUAGCCUGUAUCGAAAUGUUAAACGUCGUAAACAGUGGCUUGGUAAAAGGGAAAAAACUCAACCUCAACCGAGAAGGGAACUUCAUGAGAAAAAGAUUCUCCUCCCUAUCUGGUGGGAUUGCAAAGGUGUAAUUCACUUUGAAUUGUUACCACCUAAGGCAACAAUCAAUGCUCAAGUCUACUGUCAGCAAUUAGACCGUUUGAACCAAGCUUUGAAGAAAAAAAGACCCACUUCAGUGAAUCGAAAAGGAGAGAUAUUUCAUCAGGACAAUGCGCGACCCCACACUGCAAAGAUCACAUCACAGAAGAUCGAAGAGCUCGGUUGAGAAAAAAUUCCUCAUCCGCCUUAUUCUCCUGACCUUGCUCCUUCAGACUACCGUUUGUUUCGUAGUUUACAGAAUCAUUUGGGGUACAUAAGUUUCGCAAGCCAGGAGGAGGUCGAAACUGACAUUUCAAAGUUCUUCGCUUUGAAACCAAAAGAGUUUUACAUUGAUGGGAUUAAAAAGCUUGUAAAUAGAUGGAAGGAAGUCGUAGAUAAUCAGAGAAAGUACAUUGAUUAUUUAAAUUUCAAUUAAGUAUAACAUUUGAUCACUUGUUUUCUUUAUUCAAAGCUCGGACAGAACUUAUGGGAUGACCUGAUAUUAUCAUAUGAUCGAACGCCAUGCAUCCUUUUCCAAGUCACUGCCUGGAAUUGAACUCGGAAUCUUGGGCUUAGUAGCCGGCGCUCUUAACCACUGCGCCAUAUGUAGCUGUCUCUGUCACGUUUUACUGCCUUUGCACUGUUCACAAUGCAUUGAGCAGCAGUCAUGAUGCCAGUAUUUUGACACCCAGCGCGAACCAUCAUCAGACAAGUAAUUGUUUCCCAACAUUCAGAUGUCUUCUGGGCCUCCAUCUCAGCAAGCCUUUUUCUUAAUUACGCUUUAAUCUUUAUACUUGCCAACGUCGUUGAUUGUUCACCAGCAUGACCGCAGCCACUUGGCUGAAACACAUAAAUAAAUAAAUAAAUAAAAUAAAAAAUAGAUCAAGCUGUUCUUGGAAAUAGAAGAUAUAAAAAAAAAUCGUCAAAUUCAGCUCAAAUAGCCUGCAUGUGUGUGUGUGUUAAGCUGGUAAAAAGUCCAAUCACAUUUCUGACAUAAUCACUAUGAGGGUGCCUUUUCAAUAUUUAUAGUAAAGUAAGCAAUAAUUUUUACAUUCUGGUGGAGUAUUUUUCCUUGGCAGAUUAUUUUAUACCUUAGUGGUUAAUUUUGUAUCGGUUUUACCGUUUAUAAAAAGAGUUCAGGUAAGAUCCAGAUCAGACACUGCAUGCUGUAUGAAUUCUAAAUUGGUUCCUCAACAUUGGAAGCGGCCAGAAAAUUUCGUUCUGUCUAUGGAAAUAAAGCUUUAAGUCACGAUAGUUUGGUCAAUUUUACCCUGGAAAAUUUUCUUUCACGGAUUUCCUUUGGACCACGUUUUGUUAUUAUUGAACUUUUGGAAUAAGUUCUGAAAAAAGUAUUGAACUUUUGAAAAAAGUAAUUAAGAAAUAUGCAAAGCAAACUGCUUGAUAAUAAUUAGCAAAACAGUUUAACUUAAGUCACACUUCGAUCAUAAGACACCUUCAUGAAAUAGAAAAUAUGUCUAAACUUGACCAGUGGAUCCCUCAUUAUCUAACUGCUUCUCAGCUUAAAUAAAGAGUUGCCCUCUGCUCGUCAUUGAAGAAUGGACAUACUACAUAGCUAAAAUGAGAAACGAUGGAAAGUAGGUUCUCAAUCGUCAUAUCCAAAGAAAAAAAAAAAGAAUUAAUCCCCAAACCAGGACUAAACUCUUCUGUAUUUGGUGGGAUAUGAAGAGUGUCGUCUACCAUGAAGUUUUAAACCAAAACGAAUCAGUUAAUGUCGUCAUUUGGAAGCAUUGCGCAAAAAAUUGACUGAAAAAAUACAUAUCAUCGAUCAUUCGUAAAGGAUGUUGUUCUUACGCGAUAAUGCAAGACCACAUAUUGCCCAAGUCACUCAGGAAAAGAUUAUGGUGCUAAAUAUAGAAGUGUUGCCACAUCCUCUUUACUCUCUUGCCUUCGCUCCAUCUGGCUGUUGCCCUUCCACAUCAUUGCAACAUUAUUUAAAGGCGAAACAGCUUAUUAAUUGUGAAAAGUUUGAAAAUUACAGGGUGCGUUUCUUUGCUUCAAAACCUAAAGAAUUUUACGCCUGAGGAAUCAACCAUUUGCUAAAUAGAUGUGAUUAUAUUGUCAAUAAUUAGGAGAAAUAUUAUCUUGA